UAAAGACGGAAUCUCGCGAUAGUUGGGGCAACUGAGACCUAGCCAGGAAACUUGACAUGUCAACAAAACAGAUAAAUGAUCACCACACAGGCAUGUAAGGUGUUUGCUGGCGUAGAAUAGCCUGACAGGUAACCUCACCUGGACGAAGACCUGCUCCACCAGCAUCUUCUCCUGCUGUCUCCAUGACAACCCCUCCACUAGUGUCGCCUUUUGGCGGGCAGCCUCCACCACCUCAGCAACAGCAGCAGGCCCAGGCAGCACGGGAUGUCAACACGGCCUCACUGUGUCGCAUUGGCCAGGAGACGGUCCAAGACAUUGUCCUCAGAACCAUGGAGAUCUUCCAGCUCCUCAGGAACAUGCAGCUUCCUAAUGGAGUCACUUACCACCCAAACACCCACCAGGACAGGCUGGGAAAACUCCAGGAGCACCUUCGGAUGCUUUCUGUGUUGUUCCGCAAGCUGCGCCUUGUCUACGACAAAUGCAAAGAAAACUGUGCCGGGAUGGACCCCAUACCUCCAGAGCUACUGAUACCCUUUGUGGAGGAUGACAGCUCAAAACAUGAGGAUCGCUCAGCUGGCCAGAACCGCCCUGCCACCGAGGAGAGGAGAGAAAUCCUGGAGGUCAACAAGAAACUCAAGCAGAAGAACCAGCAGCUGAAGCAGAUAAUGGACCAACUCCGCAACCUCAUCUGGGAGAUCAACUCCAUGCUGGCUGUCAGGAGCUGAGCCUCACACACGCGCACACACACACACACACACACACACACACACACACACACACACACACGCGCACACACACACGCACACACACACACACACACACACUAGAAGUAAUAGACAAGAAGAUGUGGUUGUUAACUGGACGUGUGACAGGGUACCACAGACUGGCUGAAGCUGCACUUUACAGAAGAAAUGGGGACUUUGGCAAUAUCAGCCCGAGAGGCGAAACAACAAGAAGAGACAAAUGAAGACGAAAGGGCUCGACGCCACAGGAGAGGGCCGAGGAGGCGCCGGGGGACAGGCCGCUGGUGGCGUUGGGUUUGUCUUGUAUACUUUUAUUUCUCCUUAAACGGCGCACGAAGGUGAACGAACUGGUGACGCUGGUGGGUUUCGGCAACACGUCUUAUGACUGCAUUGCAUCCUGGCCUGGAAAGUUGACUUCAGCGGCUGGUGGGAACAUUUGCUGUGCAGGUAGUCCACACCUGGUGCUUGUUUCUGACGAACUGAUGUUUCAGUCUGGUCUAACGCCAGCGUUCUUCCAUGCAAAACGCUCAGUCUGGCUUGGAAUCUGUGCUUACGAUGUGUCAUCUACUUUGAGUGGUUUUGAGAUGAGUCUUUAGGUCGCUUUUGUCAAACACAUUUGAUUUAAAAGGCUCAAAACAAGAUGCUCUUGCAGUUGUUACGGCUGGCUAUCGUAUGAAACCUUUUGAUACUAGUUUGAUGCCCAAGUUUCAGUAAUAACUCCAAAAUAAUGAUUUCUUAAAUUAAUUUUUUUUUAUACAAAAAUAGUUUUUAACAAAAAGUAUGCAUUCAGAAAUGUUUUGAACACUUCAGAACAAGUGAAUUUAGAAAAAAUGUCACCAUUACAAGUUCUCUGUCGUGAUCCUGGGAUAAUCCUGAAUAUCUGUUAGAGAAUUUUUAAGUAUUUAACGCAAAAACAAACAAAGAAAAAAUGGCACGAGGCGAUGCAGUUAUCAUCAAAUAUGAGUUUAUUUUAUUAUAAAUCAUUCUUACAAAAUUGGCAUUUAUCUAUUUCAUUUGUGACCUCUAUAAAAGUCUUCUGUUAAUUACAAGGUAGGAGGGAGGAGAAGGCAUCGGGACAGCUGGGCUUGACCGAGUCAGACCAACAGAUCUCACUGCUGAUUGGUUACGUGAUGCAACCACUCACUGAUAAAUAAUCCCAAACGGGAAGUGGUCAUUCGUUGUCGCCUUAGCAACAGUGUCCGAUCACAAGGAGGAAAACGGGGCGUUACAAUAAGACGAUGGAAGCUGUGACUCAUCCAGUGUAUGAAGGCAGGGCUGCGGGGGCCCCACAUGUGAUGCUAUCGCCGCCCAGCUACUGGGAACAACAAGUCUAGGACAGACCGUGCUCGGCGUGUCAAGAACUCACAUGUUGAUUAAAGAAAAAAAGGCACAAAUCAAGAACAGACUAGUUUCCAGCACACGCGCCGCCGCCGCCGCCACCACUACUAACACCAACUGCCUGGCACGUUUUGGGUAAACCUUCUUCCAUCUGUUUCGAAGCGCACGUUGAUAACUUGCAUAAUGUUCCCCCACGAUCAAAUGACAGACGCAGGUGAGGCGCUUUAGCGGAUGCAGAGGUUUUCCCGGUGGCCUAAAUCACAUCCAUCACACUCCGGACUCCAUGAUACGCGCACGCCAACUGAAAGAUGGCGCAUUCUCUGUGGCCAAGUUAUCUGACCUGAAUUCGAGCUUUGAAAUAGUCAAUUUAAACUCGACUGUGUCGCAGCCUCAGACCCAUUAUUGUAAUGCAUGAGGGGAAGAUGUUACAGCAGAAACUGAAAGUGUUUCCAUCUGGUGCAGGGGGACCCAGCUGCUUAUUAUUUUCCAUGUUUCAGUUGGCGUAGUCUUUAUUGGGACUUUGCAAUUUGACUCCCGCGGAGAGCCGAGAUGGUGCGGCCCAAUCCAAUUCCAGAUCACUGGUGUAUGCAAUCUUUUAGAGUUAAAGCUCUCCACCAACAACUUUGAAAAUGUUAUAUCUCUCUUGGGGAGUUCUGAAUGAGACAGAGUGUGAUAUAUGUUUCCCCCGGAAAACCAGUGCAGAGUGAGCUGUAUAUUGGCAUCUUUUGUGGAUUAAUGUGCACAGCGUAAAGAAAAUAAACUGAAUAAAUACUAUUAACUCCCCUCAGCGAUGCAGGAUCUGUCUCGUGUUCUCACCGCGUCACCUCAAAUGGUACACAGUCUUUCUUUUUCGUUCUGUUUUUUUUUUUUAUCUCCCAAAAAAAUAAAUAUAUGUCUAUGUACAAUGCUGAGAGUCGCGGGGGUUUGAAAUGGGUGGAAAUAUCUGCAAAGCUGGGGGAUGUGAUUCUCUUGAUGAUGAUGUUCAACAACAAUGAUUCAAAUCAUCAGACAUGAAAGGUUUGACACGGAUUCAAAUGAAAUGGUUCUCUGAAGGUGAAAUAGGGACCAGAUGCGGGACGAGUGAGGGGUACGUUUUCUUCCCUGGAAUCAUCGAUGCUGUAGAUGAACGAACAUAAACAGAUCACAAAUCUCUCCUGGCAAACAAACAGCACCCCAAACUUGAAGUCCCCAAAUGUAAAGACAAACAUGAUAUUCAAAGAGAAAAGAACAUGAUAGUCCUGCUGGCUGUGAUCUGAUAUGCCAAAGCAGAGAAGCUUUGCUGUGGUAGCAUUUGGAUGUGACACAGCAGCGUGAAUGUGCAGGAAGCCUCGCUGACACCGUGAAGGCUUCACAAUACAUUUCACAUAAACUAGAACAAAA